UGCGCAGGCGGGAAAGUAAGUUAGAGGUGAAAUCUCACAGCUCAACUGUGAAACUGCCUUUGAUACUGCUUUUCUUGAGUUAGGGAGAGGUUGAUGGAAUUCCAGGUGUAGCGGUGAAAUGCGUAGAUAUCUGGAAGAACACCGGUGGCGAAGGCGGUCAACUGGCCCUAAACUGACGCUCAGGCACGAAAGCGUGGGGAUCAAACA
rnacentral:rRNA from 1 species